rnacentral:rRNA from 1 species
AGAGUUUGAUCCUGGCUCAGGAUGAACGCUGGCGGCGUGCUUAACACAUGCAAGUCGAACGGGAAAUAUUUCAUUGAGACUUCGGUGGAUUUGAUCUAUUUCUAGUGGCGGACGGGUGAGUAACGCGUGGGUAACCUGCCUUAUACAGGGGGAUAACAGUCAGAAAUGGCCGCUAAUACCGCAUAAGCGCACAGAGCUGCAUGGCUCAGUGUGAAAAACUCCGGUGGUAUGAGAUGGACCCGCGUCUGAUUAGGUAGUUGGUGGGGUAACGGCCUACCAAGCCGACGAUCAGUAGCCGACCUGAGAGGGUGACCGGCCACAUUGGGACUGAGACACGGCCCAAACUCCUACGGGAGGCAGCAGUGGGGAAUAUUGCACAAUGGGGGAAACCCUGAUGCAGCGACGCCGCGUGAGCGAUGAAGUAUUUCGGUAUGUAAAGCUCUAUCAGCAGGGAAGAAAAUGACGGUACCUGACUAAGAAGCCCCGGCUAACUACGUGCCAGCAGCCGCGGUAAUACGUAGGGGGCAAGCGUUAUCUGGAUUUUCUGGGUGUAAAGGGAGCGUAGACGGCAUGGCAAGCCAGAUGUGAAAGCCCGGGGCUCUACCCCGGGAGUACAUUCGGAACCGUCAGGGUAGAGUGUCGGAGAGGAAAGGGGAAUUCAUAGUGUAGCGGUGAAAUGUGUAGAUAUUUGGAGGAACACCAGUGGGGAAGAGGGCUUUCUGGAGGAUGAGUCACGUUGAGGCUCGAAAGAGUGGGGAGCAAACACGAUUAGAUACGAUAGUAGUGCAGUCCGUACACGAUGAAUACUAGGUGUCGUGUGGCAAAGCCAUUCGGUGCCGCAGCAAACGCAACAAGUAUUCCACCUGGGGAGUACGUUCGCAAGAAUGAAACUCAAAGGAAUAGACGGGGACCCGCACAACCGGUGGAGCAUGUGGUUUAAUUAGAAGCAACGCGAAGAACCUUCCUUGGUCUUGACAUCCCUCUGACCGCUCUUUAAUCGGAGCUUUCCUUCGGGACAGAGGAGACAGGUGGUGCAUGGUUGUCGUCAGCUCGUGUCGUGAGAUGUUGGGUUAAGUCCCGCAACGAGCGCAACCCCUAUCUUUAGUACCCAGCAUUUUGGAUGGGCACUCUAGAGAGACUGCCACGGAUAACCUGGAGGAAGGUGGGGAUGACGUCAAAUCAUCAUGCCCCUUAUGCCCAGGGCUACACACGUGCUACAAUGGCGUAAACAAGGGGAAGCCACCCCGCGAGGGGGAGCAAAUCCCAAAAAUCACGUCUCAGUUCGGAUUGUAGUCUGCAACUCGCCCCCAUGAAGUUGGAAUCGCUAGUAAUCGCGUAUCAGCAUGUCGCGGUGAAUACGUUCCCGGGUCUUGCACUCACCGCCCGUCA